GACGGGGGGUCCUAGCGUUGUUCGGAAUCAUUGGGCGUAAAGCGUGUGCAGGUGGUUUGGUAAGUUAGAUGUGAAAUCCUUGGGCUUAACCCAAGAAGUGCAUUUAAAACUCCCAAACUUGAGUAAGGAAGAGGGUCGUGGAAUUCCAGGUGUAGUGGUGAAAUACGUAGAUAUCUGGAGGAACACCGGCGGCGAAGGCGGCGACCUGGUCCUAUACUGACACUCAUACACGAAAGCGUGGGGAUCAAACAGG
rnacentral:rRNA from 1 species